UCGGGCUCCUACCAAAAUAACGCUUUUCUUCCUCCUGAUUUGCAUCUAGCUGAGGUGCCGGGAAAGAUUGGCCGCAGUACGAGACUGCUGCAGUCUGACGGCCUUUGUUUUCUUGGCAACUCGGCUGUCGGGAGCGGGAGUGCAUGGAGUUCUGGCGGCGCAUGUUAGCAUGAUGCUUCCCAUAAGAACUGAGAUUCAACAUCAGUCCUUGCUUUGCGAGACGCAGAGGGCAGACGCCAUUGCUACCUGAUGAAUUGGUACCAAAUUUGCUUCGGAACAACAGAAAUUUAAAAGGAAGGAGGAACUCUGCUAUAUUUUUUUAAUAAGCAAGAGCUGGAGCUGGAGGACAUGGAUUCAUAAUGACAUUAAUCUCCAUGAUGAAAUUGCUAGAGAGAGAGAGAGAAUAAUAUUCAACAAAGAGUAAAAAUGUGUGAUCAAGUAUCAGUGCUCUGCACCUCUCUGUGCUUGCUGGAAUCAAAUUUAAUUCACGAUUAUUAAUGUUGCUUCAGUUUGUUCUUGGUUUGUUAGGGGCACAACAAAAUCACUUCCGCAUCAUCAUAAUUUGUGUGUACCUCCAGAUUUAUGAAUUUGUUGCUGGGAUUGACACUAAAAUUAUUGUUAUGCUUCAGGAAUUGGUUCCAAUCUACAUCAGAACAAUCAAAAUUUAACGGAAGGAUGUAGCGUUCUUUCUUCCAGUUUCUUAAGGGACAUAUAUUAAAGCCUUGAUUUUCUCAACUAUGUAAAAACAUUUCAAACCGUUGUUCAAACUAUUGACUACUAUAUUAUAUAUUUUGUUAGCACAGACAGAAGGUAAACAGAGCAACUACUGCAAUAUAUUUAUGUAGUUUUGUACCAGUAAUAGGAGAUUGUGUUGCAACAAUAUGUAGAUUUUUGUAAUCUACAAAGGUUACCAAGAUGAAUAUUCGUCAAAUGAGCCAAAGAGAGCAAA